GAUGAAGAACGUAGCGAAAUGCGAUAAGUAAUGUGAAUUGCAGAAUUCAGUGAAUCAUCGAAUCUUUGAACGCACAUUGCGCCCCCUGGUAUUCCGGGGGGCAUGCCUGUCCGAGCGUCAAUACAACCCUCAAGCUCAGCUUGGUGUUGGGCCCCGCCGCCCCGGCGGGCCCUAAAGUCAGUGGCGGUGCCGUCCGGCUCCGAGCGUAGUAAUUCUUCUCGCUCUGGAGGUCCGGUCGUGUGCUCGCCAGCAACCCCCAAUUUUUUUCAGGUUGACCUCGGAUCAGGUAGGGAUACCCGCUGAACUUAAGCAUAUCAAUAAGCGGAGGA
rnacentral:misc_RNA from 1 species